rnacentral:lncRNA from 1 species
AGACCUUCAAAAUUUAUGUGUCUAAACUUUGUUAGUGCUGUUUCUUUGCUAUUCUUUUACCUUUCUUGGUCAGAGCGAUGUAGUGGGAGCUGUAAGCUUCACGUGCUCAACUUUGGCAGAGACUUUGGCAAAGUUAUCUGUGGUACCCAUGAGCUAUUGUUGCGUGUGGGAAGUGGGUGAUUGAACAAUAAGAUUCAUGUGUUUUCUACUUCACCAGAAGUCUUCGACAGAAUGCCCAUAAUUUCCGCAAAGCUGAGUGUGCGUGUGACAGGUGCUGACAAGGCUAGAAAAG